CAGCUAUUAGCGGUGAUCUGCUCUGGAGUUUCUUUUCUAACUCAUUUCUUUGCUGUUCCCUCCUUUUCAAUGCUGUGGUAGCUGGCACUUCCUGUGAAGGUCCAAGUUAGACCUGGAAUGUUUCCUUCUCCUUGUCUUGAGCCAUCACUGUGCUCUACCAUGCCACAUAGCCUCUAGGUUGACUUCCCUUGGCCAAAGCCAAGUACAAAAGAGCCAAGGUAGCAUGCUACUAAGUUCUAUGCAUUUGACUCUGCUUGUUAGGACACAGUGCUAGCGAGGUCACAAUUGCAGAAACUUAGAACCUCUGGAAUCUUUCCAAUUUCCCUGAGCCUAUAGCCUUAAAAUCAGCCCUAGGCCCUAGUCCAGCACCCAGCAAAUGCAGGUCCUUGGCUAGAAGGAGGGCUGAGAAGAAACGCCAAUGAAUUAUCGUCCCACCUAGGUUAGAUAAAACCCAACUAAACACCAAUGUUACAAAUGAUUCAAUGAUUCAUCACCAAGCAACCCCCUGUUUUCUUUAGAUCACUCCUAAUAACAAGGUAUCAAGGUGGGAGAAAAACCUGAAGCUAAGCAAGUCAGAGAAAUUGCAAGUGAUUUCCUCGAUGAAAGGGAUUUUUCAAGCCGUCUGACUCCAGUACUCCUAUUGGGACCUAGUCGGAAGCUAUCAUGGUCUCAAGAAGGUUUUGAGCAGAGCCCGGGACAAGUGUGUGCUAUUCUGGCUUCACAGUGUGUUUAUGCUUUCACAUGCAGAAGUGACUGGACAACACGUCUUCAUUUUCAAAUGGUAUCAGGGCUGUCUUCAUCCCAGAACCAGUACUGCUCUUGAGCAUGCCUGCUUUGACGGUCACAGCUGCAUUGUCACUACCAGCUUCUACUCUGGAAAAGGUGCCUUAGCAGUUUGUGUCUCCUGGAGAUUUCAAGGGGGAAUGACAGGACUGUAGGAUACUUUCUUCACUGGUUUUAGGAAAACAGACACAGUUCCCAGCCCCAGGGUUGCAGAGCCUGAGGGUGAGGUCAGAAUCUGUACCUUACACACACUCUCUGAAGAAAUAGCAACCAGGAGAGCAAGUGCAGAUAAAUGACAUGCAUAAGCUGACUGAAAAUGCCAGAAGAGGAGGCAGUGAGGAAGAAAGGAUCAUGAAUGGAGGAGAGAGAGGAGGAGGCCAGGCUCUUCCCUACCCUUGAUGGCUCCAGAGACCAGAAGGCCACCAGAAGCCACGAAGGCCAAACAGACAGAAGAGAAUGUCCUAGAAAUACAGCAGCAGGGACAGGGCUUGCCUUGUGAGGUCCUCUCCAUCCUACCAAGUACAGCAG